AUAGAAAGGAUAUUUGGAAUCUUU
rnacentral:snRNA from 1 species